UACGUAGGGCGCAAGCGUUAUCCGGAAUUAUUGGGCGUAAAGAGCUCGUAGGCGGUUUGUCGCGUCUGCCGUGAAAGUCCGGGGCUCAACUCCGGAUCUGCGGUGGGUACGGGCAGACUAGAGUGAUGUAGGGGAGACUGGAAUUCCUGGUGUAGCGGUGAAAUGCGCAGAUAUCAGGAAGAACACCCGUGGCGAAGGCGGCAUCUGGGCCGAUACUGACGCUGAGGAGCGAAAGCGUGGGGAGCGAACAGG
rnacentral:rRNA from 1 species